CCUACGGGAGGCAGCAGUGAGGAAUAUUGGUCAAUGGACGAGAGUCUGAACCAGCCAAGUAGCGUGAAGGAUGACUGCCCUAUGGGUUGUAAACUUCUUUUAUAAAGGAAUAAAACGAGGCACGUGUGCCUGUUUGCAUGUACUUUAUGAAUAAGGAUCGGCUAACUCCGUGCCAGCAGCCGCGGUAAUACGGAGGAUCCGAUCGUUAUCCGGAUUUAUUGGGUUUAAAGGGAGCGUAGAUGGGUUGUUAAGUCAGUUGUGAAAGUUUGCGGCUCAACCGUAAAAUUGCAAUUGAUACUGGCAGUCUUGAGUACAGGUGAGGUAGGCGGAAUUCGUGGUGUAGCGGUGAAAUGCUUAGAUAUCACGAAGAACCCCGAUUGCGAAGGCAGCUUACUAAACUGUGACUGACAUUGAGGCUCGAAAGUGUGGGUAUCAAACAGGAUUAGAUACCCGUGUAGUC
rnacentral:rRNA from 1 species